AUUGAACGCUGGCGGCAGGCCUAACACAUGCAAGUCGAACGAGUGGCGGACGGGUGAGUAAUGUCUGGGAAACUGCCUCAUGGUGGGGGAUCACUACUGGAAACGGUAGAUAACCCCGCAUACCUUCGUAUGUGCCCAGAUGGGAUUAGCUCGUAGGUGGGGGAAAGGCUCACCUAGGCGACGAUCCCUAGCUGGUCUGAGAGGAUGACCGGCCACACUGGAACUGAGACACGGUCCAGACUCCUACGGGAGGAAGCAGUGGGGAAUAUUGCACAAUGGGCGCAAGCCUUAUGCAGCCAUGCCGCGUGGAGGAAGAAGGCCUUCGGGUUGUAAAGUACUUUCAGCGGGGAGGCGUUACCCGCAGAAGAAGCACCGGCUAACUCCGUGCCAGCAGCCGCGGUAAUUC
rnacentral:rRNA from 1 species